rnacentral:rRNA from 1 species
GAUGAACGCUGGCGGUGUGCCUAUACAUGCAAGUCGAGCGAACAGACGAGGAGCUUACUCCUCUGACGUUAGCGGCGGACGGGUGAGUAACACGUGGAUAACCUACCUAUAAGACUGGGAUAACUUCGGGAAACCGGAGCUAAUACCGGAUAACAUGUUGAACCGCAUGGUUCAACAGUGAAAGACGGUCUUGCUGUCACUUAUAGAUGGAUCCGCGUCGCAUUAGCUAGUUGGUAAGGUAACGGCUUACCAAGGCAACGAUGCGUAGCCGACCUGAGAGGGUGAUCGGCCACACUGGAACUGAGACACGGUCCAGACUCCUACGGGAGGCAGCAGUAGGGAAUCUUCCGCAAUGGGCGAAAGCCUGACGGAGCAACGCCGCGUGAGUGAAGAAGGUCUUCGGAUCGUAAAACCCUGUUAUUAGGGAAGAACAAAUGUGUAAGUAACUAUGCACGUCUUGACGGUACCUAAUCAGAAAGCCACGGCUAACUACGUG